AGUGAACGCUGGCGGUAGGCCUAACACAUGCAAGUCGAGCGGCAGCACAGUAAGAGCUUGCUCUUACGGGUGGCGAGUGGCGGACGGGUGAGGAAUACAUAGGAAUCUACUUUUUCGUGGGGGAUGACGUAGGGAAACUUACGCUAAUACCGCAUACGACCUACGGGUGAAAGCAGGGGACCUUCGGACCUUGCGCGAUUGAAUGAGCCGAUGUCGGAUUAGCUAGUUCGCUGGGUAAAGGCCCACCAAGGCGACGAUCCGUAGCUGGUCUGAGAGGAUGAUCAGCCACACUGGAACUGAGACACGGUCCAGACUCCUACGGGAGGCAGCAGUGGGGAAUAUUAGACAAUGGGCGCAAGCCUGAUCCAGCCAUACCGCGUGGGUGAAGAAGGCCUUCGGGUUGUAAAGCCCUUUUGUUGGGAAAGAAAAGCAGCAGGUUAAUACCCCGCUGUUCUGACGGUACCCAAAGAAUAAGCACCGGCUAACUUCGUG
rnacentral:rRNA from 1 species